CCGCGGCCCGGCCCGGCCCGGCCCGGCGUCUGAGGCGGAAGCGGCAGCGGAAGCGCUACGGGGGCCGAGCGGAGCCAGGCGGAAGCGCUCGGGCAGGGGGCGGUGCGGCGGAGAGGAGCGGGCACCAUGUCGGGCCGAGAAGGCGGCAAGAAGAAGCCGCUGAAGCAGCCGAAGAAGCAGUCGAAGGACCUAGAUGAGACAGAUCUGGCAUUUAAACAAAAGCAGAAGGAGGAACAAAAGAAACUUGAGGAGAUGAAAGCAAAGGCUGCUGGAAAGGGUCCUCUCGCCAGUGGUGGAAUAAAGAAGUCUGGCAAAAAGUAGUUUGACCAAACUGCAGGGUGAGAAGCCGUUGAGUUAUUCAAUGGGUCUGCAGCUUCAGAGAGUCAUGAAAACUCACUGUCAUUUGGGAAACAUUGUACAUUUUGUGUAGUUGGAAUAAACCUUUUUUGUUAAGAUGUGA